GGCAAAAGAGAGCUUGAUUGCAAGACAUACAGGUCGAGCAAGGAUGAAAAUCGGACUUAGUGAUCCGGUGGUUCUGCGUGGAAGGGCCAUCGCUCAACGGAUAAAAGCUACCCUGGGGAUAACAGGCUUAUCUCCCCCAAGAGUCCACAUCGACGGGGAGGUUUGGCACCUCGAUGUCGGCUCAUCCCAUCCUGGGGCUGUAGUAGGUCCCAAGGGUUGGGCUGUUCGCCCAUUAAAGUGGUACGCGAGCUGGGUUCAGAACGUCGGGAGACAGUUCGGUCCCUAUCCGUCGCAGGCGUAGGAAAUUUGAGAAGACCUGUCCUUAGUACGAGAGGACCGGGAUGGACGUACCUCUGGUGUACCAGUUGUCCUGCCAAGGGCAUGGCUGGGUAGC
rnacentral:rRNA from 1 species